CUGAUGGAAGUGGCUUAUGCUGACUAAAUUCACAAGAGCCGUAUUGACAAAUCAAAUCGCCAACUAUCUAAUUUGGAAUGGAAAAAAAAAAAGAGUGCUAUUAAGGAGUCUGCAAUAUCCAUAUUGUCAGAAUGCCUGACAAACCUGAACCAGGAAAUCUUUACCAACAGAAAGUGACCCAGUCUUUCUGCAUGGCAGGUGGCCACACUGCCACCUGCUCCCCUCCUGCUAGUCAUGACUCCAAGAGUCUUGACAGAGGGUUGGUGACAGGCAACUAGAGAUCUGGAAAGAAAAUCUCUCUUCAAAGCAGGUUUGCUGUGUUGCAAACGCCAGGGGACAUCAGUCACAGAGACCUGAAUGUACACAGCACCCCCUGGAGUUGGCAAUGUGGAGGCCCUGGCUGCUGAUUCCAAAGAAGAUUUAAAUUGCAGUCCAUUGUAUUUUUCUC